UCCCCAGGGGCUUAGUUGGUAAAGAACCUGCCUGUGAUGUAGGAGACCCAGGUUCAAGCCCGGGGUAGGGAA
rfam:TPA: Bos taurus chromosome 20, whole genome shotgun sequence.